UACGUAGGGUGCAAGCGUUAUCCGGAAUCACUGGGCGUAAAGCGUGCGUAGGUGGAUGUUUAAGUGAGAUGUUAAAUCGUGUGGCUCAACCAUAUCGAUGCAUCUCAUACUGGGCAUCUAGAGGACAGCAGAGGCAAGUGGAAUUGGUAGUGUAGCAGUGAAAUGCGCAGAUAUCAGGAGGAACACCGGUGGCGAAGGCGGUUCUCUGGGCCUGUACUGACGCUGAGGAGCGAAAGCGUGGGGAGCGAACAGG
rnacentral:rRNA from 1 species